GACUUGGUCGGAAACCAAGUCCUCGAAAAGGAG
rfam:Coriobacteriaceae bacterium 68-1-3, complete genome.